rnacentral:rRNA from 1 species
GACGAACGUUGGCGGCGUGCUUAACACAUGCAAGUCGAACGGAAAGGCCCUGCUUUUGUGGGGUGCUCGAGUGGCGAACGGGUGAGUAACACGUGAGUAACCUGCCCUUGACUUUGGGAUAACUUCAGGAAACUGGGGCUAAUACCGGAUAGGAGCUCCUGCUGCAUGGUGGGGGUUGGAAAGUUUCGGCGGUUGGGGAUGGACUCGCGGCUUAUCAGCUUGUUGGUGGGGUAGUGGCUUACCAAGGCUUUGACGGGUAGCCGGCCUGAGAGGGUGACCGGCCACAUUGGGACUGAGAUACGGCCCAGACUCCUACGGGAGGCAGCAGUGGGGAAUAUUGCACAAUGGGCGGAAGCCUGAUGCAGCAACGCCGCGUGCGGGAUGACGGCCUUCGGGUUGUAAACCGCUUUCGCCUGUGACGAAGCGUGAGUGACGGUAAUGGGUAAAGAAGCACCGGCUAACUACGUGCCAGCAGCCGCGGUGAUACGUAGGGUGCGAGCGUUGUCCGGAUUUAUUGGGCGUAAAGGGCUCGUAGGUGGUUGAUCGCGUCGGAAGUGUAAUCUUGGGGCUUAACCCUGAGCGUGCUUUCGAUACGGGUUGACUUGAGGAAGGUAGGGGAGAAUGGAAUUCCUGGUGGAGCGGUGGAAUGCGCAGAUAUCAGGAGGAACACCAGUGGCGAAGGCGGUUCUCUGGGCCUUUCCUGACGCUGAGGAGCGAAAGCGUGGGGAGCGAACAGGCUUAGAUACCCUGGUAGUCCACGCUGUAAACGGUGGGUACUAGGUGUGGGGUCCAUUCCACGGGUUCCGUGCCGUAGCUAACGCUUUAAGUACCCCGCCUGGGGAGUACGGCCGCAAGGCUAAAACUCAAAGGAAUUGACGGGGCCCCGCACAAGCGGCGGAGCAUUCGGAUUAAUUCGAUGCAACGCGUAGAACCUUACCUGGGUUUGACAUGGAUCGGGAGUGCUCAGAGAUGGGUGUGCCUCUUUUGGGGUCGGUUCACAGGUGGUGCAUGGCUGUCGUCAGCUCGUGUCGUGAGAUGUUGGGUUAAGUCCCGCAACGAGCGCAACCCUUGUUCACUGUUGCCAGCACGUUAUGGUGGGGACUCAGUGGAGACCGCCGGGGUCAACUCGGAGGAAGGUGGGGAUGACGUCAAGUCAUCAUGCCCCUUAUGUCCAGGGCUUCACGCAUGCUACAAUGGCUGGUACAGAGAGUGGCGAGCCUGUGAGGGUGAGCGAAUCUCGGAAAGCCGGUCUCAGUUCGGAUUGGGGUCUGCAACUCGACCUCAUGAAGUCGGAGUCGCUAGUAAUCGCAGAUCAGCAACGCUGCGGUGAAUACGUUCCCGGG